rnacentral:rRNA from 1 species
GAAUAUUGGACAAUGGGGGGAACCCUGAUCCAGCCAUGCCGCGUGUGUGAAGAAGGCCUUUUGGUUGUCAAGCACUUUCAGCGAGGAGGAGGAGCUCUUGGUUAAUACACAAGAUGCUUGGACGUUCCUAGCAGAAUACGCACCGGCACACUCUGUGCGAGCCGCCGCGGUAAUCCAGAGGGUGCAAGCGUUAAUCGGAUUUACUGGGCGUAAAGCGCUCGUAGGUGGCCAAUUAAGUCAAAUUUGCAAUCCCCGAGCUUAACUUGGGAAUUGCAUUCGAUACUGGUUGGCUAGAGUAUGGGAGAGGAUGGUAGAAUUCCAGGUGUAGCGGUGAAAUGCGUAGAGAUCUGGAGGAAUACCGAUGGCGAAGGCAGCCAUCUGGCCUAAUACUGACACUGAGGUGCGAAAGCAUGGGGAGCAAACA